AUUGAACGCUGGCGGCAGGCCUAACACAUGCAAGUCGAGCGAGCGGCGGACGGGUGAGUAAUGUCUGGGAAACUGCCUGAUGGAGGGGGAUACCUACUGGAAACGGUAGCUAAUACCGCAUACCAUCAGAUGUGCCCAGAUGGGAGUAGCUAGUAGGUGGGGUAACGGCGCACCUAGGCGACGAUCCCUAGCUGGUCUGAGAGGAUGACCAGCAACACUGGAACUGAGACACGGUCCAGACUCCUACGGGAGGCAGCAGUGGGGAAUAUUGCACAAUGGGCGCAAUCCUGAUGCAUCCAGGCCGCGUGUGUGAAGAAGGCCUUCGGGUUGUAAAGCACUUUCAGCGGGGAGGCGUUACCCGCAGAAGAAGCACCGGCUAACUCCGUGCCAGCAGCCGCGGUAAUAC
rnacentral:rRNA from 1 species